AUUGAACGCUGGCGGCAGGCCUAACACAUGCAAGUCGAGCGGAUGACGGGAGCUUGCUCCUUGAUUCAGCGGCGGACGGGUGAGUAAUGCCUAGGAAUCUGCCUGGUAGUGGGGGACAACGUUUUGAAAGGAACGCUAAUACCGCAUACGUCCUACGGGAGAAAGCAGGGGACCUUCGGGCCUUGCGCUAUCAGAUGAGCCUAGGUCGGAUUAGCUUGUUGGUGAGGUAAUGGCUCACCAAGGCGACGAUCCGUAACUGGUCUGAGAGGAUGAUCAGUCACACUGGAACUGAGACACGGUCCAGACUCCUACGGGAGGCAGCAGUGGGGAAUAUUGGACAAUGGGCGAAAGCCUGAUCCAGCCAUGCCGCGUGUGUGAAGAAGGUCUUCGGAUUGUAAAGCACUUUAAGUUGGGAGGAAGGGUUGUAGAUUAAUACUCUGCAAUUUUGACGUUACCGACAGAAUAAGCACCGGCUAACUCUGUG
rnacentral:rRNA from 1 species